rnacentral:lncRNA from 1 species
UGGAAAUGACUAAUUUUCAAGUUGCCAACAAUUUAUAUAGCGGUACUAUCUCACUCAUUCUCUGCAGAAGUUAAUUAUACUCGUGUUAAAAGUAUCAGAAUCCAAAUGUAUGGAAAAAUUAUUCAGAGAUUGAUUAUAUGAUCAUAUUUAACGUGAGUUUUUUCUACAGUGGGCGAAUAAGCGUCCUCAAAGGAAGCAAGUACAAAUCAGUCCCUUAAGAGCAAGACCGAGCGCUGUAGGUGCCUUAUCGGCAGUGACCCAGAAGGGCUAAUAUUUUCUAAGAAUAGCUUACAGUAGUGGCUUAACAUUUGUUAUACUUAUUUCACAUGAAAUACAUCUCUGUUUAAUUGCAUUGGUUGGAACAGCUCUUACCUGUAAGGGUGUGUGUUCUGUGAAGGUCAGUUGAAGGUCAGAAGUACAGUAUCAUGAAUGCUAGACUGGGUUUGGCUCCAGCUUUUUCAUUAAACUUUUCAGGGUCUCCGUUUCUUUAUCUGUAAAAUGACAGGGUUGGACUAGUUAGCUUAAAUAGUAGUUCUUUUAUACCACACACGUCUGUAAAAUUUGUUGGAUCCGUUUGGCAGAGAGAUUGAACAGAAAAGCACCUCAGUAAUGUGACGGCAGCCAGAUGAUUGAAAGACAAGUCAACACAUAAUUCAUAUUGAUCUGACUUUAUUUCUGUUAGAUUUUACACCCAGAAGAUUUAACUUCUUACAUAGUUUGUACAAACUUAAAAUCUGUCAGCAUCAAAGCUUAAAAGUUGGGUGUGUUCUCCUUGAGGCGGGUACAUGUAAGAAGCCUGCAGCCUUAGCCAGACCCGGGGCUGGUUUAGGUGUUCAUGGGCCUCUGCAUGCGUGGAUCUGUGUUUGCUGGAGAUGAAUGUGGAAAUUUACUCCAGUUCCUGUUCAGUCCAAGCCCACCCACUUUUUGGAGUUCAGUGAGAAAGGGGAGUAGAAAGGCCCCCAGCACAAUGGAUGCGUGUGCUUUUACUCACUAGCUAAGGGAAGCUGUCAGGACAAGAGUGCGCCAACAUGGGGAUGAGAAACCCCCCUCUCAGGAGCUCACUUUUGGGUAUGCAAGCUUUGUACGUUCACUGUGAUUCUGCACGAAGAAGAUGGACCUGUGUUCAGUUGAUAACCAUAUCAUCAACCUCAGCGUCAGUGUUUUCAAGAAGUCUUAGAAAGUCUCCAUAAACACCCAAGGCUUCACACUUUUUUUGUUUUUGUUUUUGCGGUACGCGGGCCUCUCACUGCUGUGGCCUCUCCCGUUGCGGAGCACAGGCUCCGGACGCGCAGGCUCAGCGGCCAUGGCUCGCGGGCCCAGCCGCUCCGCGGCACGUGGGAUCCUCCCGGACCGGGGCACGAACCCGCGUCCCCUGCAUCGGCAGGCAGACUCUCAACCACUGCGCCACCAGGGAAGCCCCCGGCUUUACACUUUUAAUUAGAAACAUCGGAGCCCAGGGAUGAUCCUAGGAAGAGAAUAAUUGCAAGACACUCAUCUAAAGUAAUUAUGUUUAGAAAUGAGUUAAUUUUAAGAUGUUGUGCUUACGUGCUCCUUUUCUCUAGCAGUUUAACCUAGACAAGCAGCUAUAUCAGUGAUUCUAUUCUCCCAGUUGAUUACAUUUGGUUCCUUUAUGCUUAAAGGAAGAUAACAGAAAACUUCAGAAAUUCCUUAUGGUGUAAUAGGAAAGGGGGGUUAUCUUGAGCUGCUGUUUUUGGAAUUAUUUUACAGCUCUUUGGUGGGUCUGGCCACUAAGAGAUAGGCUUGAAGGCCGCGAGGAACGUUUGUUCACUGUUCUAUCUAAAGCUUAAUGAGCUAAAGCUUUGGGGGUAUAGGUUAACGGAGGUGUUAUUUUAUAAUGCUUUGACUUGACCUGAAAUGAGUUUAUGGGGGGGAAAAAACCAUAAGCUGUGAAUUUUGGUAGUAAACAUCUGUCCAUUUCAGAUGCUUCCCUUGCUUUUAGCAGGCAGCCUGUGUACCUUUUAUGUGACUGCCAGUGGUUUAAAGAGAUCUGUUUCAAAAAGUGGUUGCAUGUUUUGAUGCAAUUUGGGAAACUUUACAAAUACAGAUUCAUAAGAAAAAAAUCCAUGAAAAUACUGAAGAUAUGUUUGAGGAUUUUCUUAAUUGCAGUAAAUAUUCAGCAUUUUUCUAAUGAACGUGAAUUUUGUUUAUGAGUAAAAGUAUGCAUUUU